rnacentral:rRNA from 1 species
UACGAAGGGGCUAGCGUUGCUCGGAAUUAGCUGGCGUAAAGCGCACGUAGGCGGAUCUUUAAGUCAGGGGUGAAAUCCUGGAGCUCAACUCCAGAACUGCCUUUGAUACUGAGGACCUUGAGUUCGGGAGAGGUGAGUGGAACUGCGAGUGUAGAGGUGAAAUUCGUAGAUAUUCGCAAGAACACCAGUGGCGAAGGCGGCUCACUGGCCCGAGUACUGACGCUGAGGUGCGAAAGCGUGGGGAGCAAACAGG